UUCUCCUUGAUAAGUUGCUGGAAGUCCUUGUGAUUAGCCCAUACAUUAUAGAAUCUGAAGGGAGCCUUCCUGAUCAUAGUAUCUUCAGUCAGAGUGAGCCAUUGGCUUAUGAUCAGAGAUUAGAGGGGGGUCAUAUACAGUUUGUACAUGACUCCAUUUAAGCAUCCAAUCAUAAUCACCAAAUAUUCUGUCCAAUCUGCUACAAACUCUAUCAUUGCCAGUUUGUUUGUUGGUCCAUGUGAAGAAUUCCCCUUUUAAGGAAGUUCUGAUAACUCAUCCAGUUGAAUACAUUGAGCAAAAUCCAG
rnacentral:lncRNA from 1 species